rnacentral:rRNA from 1 species
UACGUAGGGACCAAGCGUUGUUCGGAUUUACGUGGGCGUAAAGGGCGCGUAGGCGGCCUAGCAAGUCACAUUGUGUAAAUCUCCGGGCUUAACUCGGAACUGCCAAGUGAAACUGCUGGGCUAGAGGUGCAGAAGGGGGCAAUCGGAAUUCUUGGUGUAGCGGUGAAAUGCGUAGAUAUCAAGAGGAACACCUGAGGUGAAGACGGGGUGCUGGGCUGACACUGACGCUGAGACGACGAAAGCGUGGGGAGCGAACAGG